rfam:Triticum aestivum genome assembly, contig: Triticum_aestivum_CS42_TGACv1_scaffold_145886_2BS
UGCAUACUCCCUCCGUCCGAAAAUACUCGUCGGAGGAAUGGAUGUAUCUAGAUGUAUUUUAGUUCUAGAUACAUUCAUUUUUAUGCAUUUCUUCGACACGUAUUUCCGGACGGAGGGAGUAUCUU